UACGGAGGUGGCAAGCGUUGUUCGGAAUUAUUGGGCGUAAAGGGCGCGUAGGCGGCUUAGCAAGUCGGAUGUGAAAGCCCCGGGCUUAACUCGGGAAUUGCAUCCGAAACUGCUUUGCUUGAGUCCUGGAGGGGGUAGUGGAAUUCCCAGUGUAGCGGUGAAAUGCGUAGAUAUUGGGAGGAACACCUGCGGCGAAGGCGGCUACCUGGACAGUGACUGACGCUGAGGCGCGAAAGCUAGGGGAGCGAACG
rnacentral:rRNA from 1 species